rnacentral:rRNA from 1 species
AAUGAACGUUGGCGGCGUGGAUUAGGCAUGCAAGUCGUGCGAUAACCCCGCAAGGGGGGAAAGCGGCGAAAGGGAGAGUAACGCGUGGGUACCUGCCCCUUGGUCCGGAAUAGCUGCGGGAAACGGCAGGUAAUGCCGGAUAAUAUCCUCGGAUAAAAGGUGUGAUUCCGCCGAGGGAGGGGCCCGCGUUCUAUUAGCUAGUUGGUAGGGUAAUGGCCUACCAAGGCGACGAUGGAUACCGGGUGUGAGAGCAUGACCCGGCUCACUGGGACUGAGACACUGCCCAGACACCUACGGGUGGCUGCAGUCGAGAAUCUUCGGCAAUGGGCGCAAGCCUGACCGAGCGACGCCGCGUGCGGGAUGAAGGCCUUCGGGUUGUAAACCGCUGUCGUAGAGGAGGAAAUGCCAUGGGGUUCUCUCCAUGGUUUGACCUAUUCUAGGAGGAAGGACGGGCUAAGUUCGUGCCAGCCGCCGCGGUAA